GGUAAAACAGAGUUGUGUAAUCAGGGAGGGAGGUAGUUCAGUGGAGAGUGUUGGACCUGGAAAGACAUGAAUUGGAAUCCUGCCUCAAGCACAUACUGGCCAUGUGGUUCUGGGAAAAAGGCAGCUGUGUACACCCAGGACCCGGACACAGAGGGACCACCAGACUGAUGUUUCCUGUUUAGAACAAGUACCCAGGCAGAACAAGAACAGCCACAGUUCUCCUCCUGUUUUCAUACUCAGGAAAAAGUAUUGCAGCCAUCUUGCAUCUCAUACUGAGGUCCAAUGGAUGACAUGAAUCUUAGAGAAAGUGACACAAUCAAAGAACAGGAGAAAGGAACCACCUGACUUUUCCAUUAAAAUGCAAACUCCUUAAAUUGUUAUACAAGAUCUUCUAUGAACUGGGUCCAGCCCACCUUUCCAGCAUUGUCUCUUCUCUCUUUACAUGUACAGCUAAAACAUAUUUCUAUAUCAAUCAUGUUGUGAAAGAGAAAUCAGAACCAAAAGAGGAAAAUUACAAGGAAAAAUAAAAGCAGGAACAAAGUGAAAAUAGGAUGCUUCUGAUGAAUAUAGAAAUAUGGUUAGAAGAACUGCAUAUGUUUAACCUAUAUUAGAUUGUUUUGUGUCUUGAGGAGGCAGAGGAAAGAGGGAAAAAAAUGGGGAACACAAGAUUUUGCAAAGGUGAAUGUUGAAAACUAUCUUUGCAUGUGUUCAGAAAAAUAAAAUGCUAUUAAAAAAAAGAAAAUAGAAAGCUUUGAUCUACAUUCAGUCUCCAUAAUUCUUUCUCUGAAUGAGGAUGGCAUUUUCUAAGCCAAGUCUGUUGGAACUAUCUUGGAUUACUAUGUGGCUGAGAAGAGCCAAGUUUGUCAUCAUUGAUUAUCACACAAUCUUGCUGUUACUGUGUACAAUGUUCUCUGGUUCUGUUCUCCUCACUCAACAUCAAUUCAUGUAAGUCUUUCCAGGUUUUUCUAAAAUCAGGAUGUUCAUCAUUUUUUAUAGAACAAUAAUAUUCUAUUACUUUCAUAUAUGAUAACUUAUUCAGCCAUUCCCAAUGGAUGGGCAUUUGUCCAUUUCCCAAUUUUUUGUCACCACAAAAAGAGCUGCUUUUGCACAUUUGGGUUCUUUCUCCUCUUUUACAGUCUCCUUGGGAUACAGAAUCAGUAGUGAGUGACACUGCUCAUCAAAAGGAAUUCAUAUUUCCUUUCGGUGUGGUUCCAAAUCAGCAUUGACUUUUCUCACAAUUUUAAUAUAUCAAAUAUUUCAGCUAAAUUUGAGCAUUAGAGGGUGACAGCACUCCUCUUACUUUUCCCACUUUUGCUCCCACUUAUGCUGACUGAAAAAACAAAACUAAA